rnacentral:rRNA from 1 species
AUACGUAGGGUGCAAGCGUUAAGCGGAAUUACUGGGCGUAAAGCGUGCGCAGGCGGUUAUGUAAGACAGAUGUGAAAUCCCCGGGCUCAACCUGGGAACUGCAUUUGUGACUGCAUGGCUAGAGUACGGUAGAGGGGGAUGGAAUUCCGCGUGUAGCAGUGAAAUGCGUAGAUAUGCGGAGGAACACCGAUGGCGAAGGCAAUCCCCUGGACCUGUACUGACGCUCAUGCACGAAAGCGUGGGGAGCAAACAGGAUUAGAAACCCUAGUAGUCC